UACGGAGGAUGCGAGCGUUAUCCGGAUUUAUUGGGUUUAAAGGGUGCGCAGGCGGAUUUUUAAGUCAGCGGUCAAAUCGUGGGGCUCAACCCCGUCGAGCCGUUUGAACUGGCGCGCUUGAGUUCAGGCGAGGUAGGCGGAAUUCGUGGUGUAGCGGUGAAAUGCAUAGAUAUCACGCAGAACCCCGAUUGCGAAGGCAGCAUACCGGUGCACAACUGACGCUCAGGCACGAAAGCGUGGGUAUCGAACAGG
rnacentral:rRNA from 1 species